rnacentral:rRNA from 1 species
UCAAGCUACUAAGGGCAUACGGCGGAUGCCUAGGCGCCAUCAGCCGAUGAAGGACGCGGUAAGCUGCGAAAAGCUACGGGGAACUGCAAGCAAGUAUUGAUCCGUAGAUGUCCGAAUGGAGCAAUCCGCAUGGAGAUAGUCCAUGCAUCCAUAAGUGAAUUCAUAGCUUAUGGAGGGGAACCGCCUGAACUGAAACAUCUAAGUAGGGCGAGGAAGAGACAUCAAACGAGAUUCCGUAAGUAGUGGCGAGCGAACGCGGAAGAGGGCAAACCGGGAGUAGAAAUACUUCCGGGGUAUGGACUGCUUUUAGGACUUAAUCUGUUAACCGAACGGCAUGGGAAGGCCGGUCAGAGAGUGUGAGAACCACGUAGGUGAAAACGGAGAGAGCUGCGCAGGAUCCAGAGUACGGCCAGACACGUGAAACCUGGUCGGAAUACGGGGGGACCACCCUCCAACCCUAAAUACUACCCAGUGACCGAUAGCGUAUAGUACUGUGAAGGAAAGGUGAAAAGGACCCCGGGAGGGGAGUGAAAGAGAACCUGAAACCCUGUGUUUACAAGCUGUGGAAGUAUCGAAAGGAUACAACCGCGUACUUUUUGUAGAACGGUCCGGCGAGUUACGCUUACUGGCAAGGUUAAGCACUUCAGGUGUGGAGCCGUAGGGAAACCAAGUCUUAAGAGGGCCUUAAGUCAGUAGGAGUAGACCCGAAACCGGGUGAUCUAUCCAUGUCCAGGUUGAAGCUGCCGUAAGAGGUAGUGGAGGACCGAACCCACAUCCGUUGAAAAGGGUGGGGAUGAGGUGUGGAUAGGGGAGAAAUUCCAAUCGAACCCGGAGAUAGCUGGUUCUCCUCGAAAUAGCUUUAGGGCUAGCCUCGAUACAGAUUUGCGGAGGUAGAGCACUGAAUUUCCUAGGGGGCGUCAAAGCCUACCGAAGAAUAUCAAACUCCGAAUGCCGCGUAAUUGCUUACCGGGAGUCAGACUGCACGAGAUAAGUUGGGCAGUCAAAAGGGAAAGAGCCCAGACCUACAGCUAAGGUCCCAAAGUGCGUGUUAAGUGGAAAAGGAUGUGGGAUUUCGAAGACAACUAGGAUGUUGGCUCAGAAGCAGCCAUACAUUCAAAGAGUGCGUAAUAGCUCACUGGUCGAGAGGUCCUGCGCCGAAAAUGUCCGGGGCUGAAACGCGCCACCGAAACUAAGGAACCGAAAGGUUGGUAGAGGAGCAUUGCAUGCGGGAAGAAGCAGUACCGGAAGGAGCUGUGGACUGCAUGGAAGAGAGAAUGCCGGAAUGAGUAGCGAGAAUAAGGUGAGAAUCCUUAUGGCCGAAUAUCCAAGGUUUCCAGAGUAAAGCUGAUCUGCUCUGGGUAAGUCGGGGCCUAAGGCGAGGUCGAAAGACGUAGUCGAUGGAUAACAGGUUGAAAUUCCUGUACCGCAUAUAAACAGAACUGUGGGGACGUAUGUGGAAAGCACGAGCCGGGAAUGGAAAGACCGGUACAAGCGGGGUAGGUGUACAACAGGCAAAUCCGUUGUAUAAUCCGAAGACGUGAUGUGGAGCGAAAUAAAGUAGUGAAGCGUGUGAGCCAUGUGCCAAGAAAAGCCGCUAUAGUGAUACACAUACCCGUACCGUAAACCGACACAGGUGGAUGAGGAGAGAAUCCUAAGGCCGGCGGAAGAAGCAUUGUUAAGGAACUCGGCAAAAUGACCCCGUAACUUCGGGAGAAGGGGUGCCCUGUGAAAGCAGGGCCGCAGAGAAUAGGCUCAAGCAACUGUUUAGCAAAAACACAGGUCUAUGCGAAACCGAAAGGUGAGGUAUAUGGGCUGACGCCUGCCCGGUGCUGGAAGGUUAAGAGGAGAGGUUAGCGCAAGCGAAGCUUUGAAUUUAAGCCCCAGUAAACGGCGGCCGUAACUAUAACGGUCCUAAGGUAGCGAAAUUCCUUGUCGGGUAAGUUCCGACCCGCACGAAAGGCGUAAUGAUUUGAGCACUGUCUCGACAAUGCAUCCGGUGAAAUUGAAGUACCAGUGAAGAUGCUGGUUACCUGCGCCAGGACGGAAAGACCCCAUGGAGCUUUACUCCAGCUUGAUACUGGGAUUCGGUAUUGCAUGUACAGGAUAGGUGGGAGGCUAGGAGAUGGUAACGCCAGUUGCCAUGGAGCCGCUGUUGGGAUACCACCCUUGCAGUAUUGGAUUUCUAACCUGCACCCAUGACCUGGGUGGGGGACAAUGUCUGGCGGGGAGUUUGACUGGGGCGGUCGCCUCCGAAAGGGUAUCGGAGGCGCUCAAAGGUUCCCUCAGAAUGGUUGGAAACCAUUCGAAGAGUGCAAAGGCAGAAGGGAGCUUGACUGCGACACCGACGGGUGGAGCAGGUACGAAAGUAGGACUUAGUGAUCCGGUGGUAUAAAGUGGGAUUGCCAUCGCUCAACGGAUAAAAGCUACCCUGGGGAUAACAGGCUUAUCACUCCCAAGAGUUCACAUCGACGGAGUGGUUUGGCACCUCGAUGUCGGCUCAUCGCAUCCUGGGGCUGUAGUAGGUCCCAAG